rnacentral:rRNA from 1 species
UACGGAGGGUGCAAGCGUUAUCCGGAUUCACUGGGUUUAAAGGGUGCGUAGGUGGGUUGGUAAGUCAGUGGUGAAAUCUCCGAGCUUAACUUGGAAACUGCCAUUGAUACUAUCAGUCUUGAAUAUUGUGGAGGUCAGCGGAAUAUGUCAUGUAGCGGUGAAAUGCUUAGAUAUGACAUAGAACACCAAUUGCGAAGGCAGCUGGCUACACAUAUAUUGACACUGAGGCAACGAAAGCGUGGGGAUCAAACAGG